GGAUGAGAUCGCCAAGUACAAGGUCGGCGCGCCCGCCCGCGUGGGUGCCGUCGCCCCCGAGGACGUGGUGAUCAAGGCCGGCGGUACCGGCAUGGACCCCUCCCAGACCUCGUUCUUCCAGGCCCUCGGCAUUGCCACCAAGAUUAACAAGGGUACCAUUGAGAUCGUGUCCGACGUCGUGGUCGUCAAGGCCGGCGAGCGCGUGGGCCCCUCUCAGGCCACCCUGCUGGCCAAGCUGGGCGUCAAGCCCUUCAAGUACGGCCUGCUGAUCCUGAAGGUGAUCGAGUCGGGCGCCGUCUACGACCCCAAGGUGAUGGACAUCACCGACGAGGACAUGAUGGCCUCCGUCAUCGCCGGUAUCCGCGAGGUGGCCGCGCUGUCGCUGGGCGCCCAGUACCCCACCCUGGCCGCCGCCCCCCACGUCAUCAUCGACGGCUACAAGAACGUGCUGGCCAUCGCCGUGGAGACCGACUACACCUUCCCCCUGGCCCAGAAGGUGCGCGUGCGCUUCUAUUUGUGUGAUGGGAUGCAAAGAUUGGGGCCUGGCUGCGUUCGCUCAUGGCCGGGCCGGAGCACAAUGGCGCCACAAGCCAGCCUUUCGCUGCGUCUCCCCGCGACGUUGUCUUGACUACGUUGCUGCUGUGCGGCUGCCUCACCCACCUCGUCGCCCGCUUUCCCCGCACCUGCAGGUCAAGGACUACCUGGCCGACCCCUCCAAGUUCGCCUCCGCUGCCCCCGCGGCCGCCGCCGGUGGCGCCCCCGCCGCCAAGAAGGAGGAGCCCAAGAAGGAGGAGCCCUCCGAGGAGGAGGACAUGGGCUUCUCCCUGUUCGACUAAGCGU
rnacentral:lncRNA from 1 species